ACACACGUCGAGCACGGCGCAAUUAUCAUUCAAAAAUUGAUACCACAGUCGAAUUUGUGUGGGGAACCUUUUUGAGUUACGCUCGGUGUGUAGCGCUUGUUAGUAGAGAAAUUGUACUUUAAGCAGUUGCCUUAAAACUAAGUUUGUUUCUUAAACGGACCACAAUACGGCAAUAAAUGCGUUUACCUUCUAUUACAAAGCAUUAUACAGAGAUUUUCUUAUCUUUUACACACAUUUUUGAAGGUGAUUCAAUAGUAUCCAAAAAGUUACGUUACCUCUUUUAAAUCUUAUGGAACAAUAGGGUAUUUGACUCAUAAUCUAAGACGUGAAACAAUGAGGUACCCGUAAGGUACCACACGGCGAUGGAAAUUGAUUUUCAUUGAAUUUCAUGGUGUUUUGCCACUUAGAUAUUCAUAUAUUUUUUGUGAAAUAACUCGACUAGUUUGGUAUAGUUAUCAACACAAAGAUGGCGGCGUCGAAAGCCGAAAAAAACCUAUACAAAGAACUAGAACAGACACAUAGAAGACUUUCGUCGAUCUGCUGAUUCGACCUGUAGCUCAGUUGGCAGAGCACGUUACGGCUAGCGUGGUCGCAGGUUCAAGUUCUGUCAAGUCGAAGGAAUUUUUCUUUGUGUUCGAUUUUUGUAUUAAUAAUUAUAAUAGUGUAAUAUUUAAUUGUAGUGAGGUUAUACGGCUAAGUUCAUGAAAAGUAAAAAUGCUAAUGCUUGUCUACAAUUUUUUUAAAACUUCAAUCUACUCACACGAACAUGCUGAAUACAAGUCUGAAAUUCGUUUUUCGAUAUCUCAAGUAAACACCAGAGCUAUUAAUGGUUAAAGUUAGUAGUGCUGGGAUGUUUUGUACUUUUAUAACCAUUAGUAUGGAAUUUGUGUGGCAUCAUUACGUCAUGAUGCUACACAUGUGUUGCCGUUUCUUUCCAACUCGUGAUUUCUUAAAGUAACUAUUUUAUUUUUUAGCAAAUAUCGUUUCUGUUGUCAAAUUUAUCCAUAGCCUUUUUGCCUAUUUUAUAAUGCUGAUAAAUAAUUAAUUUUUUAUUCCUGUCAAAUACCCUAUUGGGAUACGAGAGACGAUAAUAUGUAAUGGCAUAGACAUAUUUUUGUCAACGAUUGACCUACUGAAUUAAUGUAUUAAUACAUGCAUAAAAAUAUUCGCAUAAUCAUUGAAAGUUAAGACAAGUAUUCAUGUUGAACUCUUAAAAAUUAACGUACUUGUUGCUAUUAAAGUUAUUAACUAAUUAAUUAAAAUUGAUACGUAAUUCGUGCUACUAAGAGUCAGUUUAAAACUUUAUUUCGUUUGAUAAUAGAAGACUGGAUUUGUGUGUAGGUACGAUUAGAAAUGAAUAGGAUAUUAUUGAUAUCUGUUUAUGAAAUGUAAAGUUUGUAUUUCUUACCACCUAAUUUUUUUUUCUUACUUAAGCGGGUCGUAAAUUUUGUGGUGCCUAUUUUUUAACUAUGAACUAACUUAAUUCGCUUUUACUACAUAUCCCUGCUUUUCAAGAAUAAUGCUCGAAUUAUUUGUGCGGGAGUGUAUUUGUAGCGAGUAAAUUCAAGUAGUUUCUUGUUUAUAUCUUGCUAUUUCAUAAACAGAUUUCGUAAUAAGUGCAUAGUCACAUAUCUGUAGUCAUUAUGACUGCGUCUCGACUGCCAACUGCUAAUGAAGUCCGUUUCCAGCUGUCAGUAGUCGCGAUAGAGCUGUGACUACACACUAAGAAUGUGAUUGUUUUUGAGCUUUUCUAUUGCAAAAAUAACAGCUGAUUGUUGACUUAUUCAGGGGGCCACGGCAUAAGUUUUGUAGAGCGCUAUUUAUAUUCAAGAAACGACGUAUGCAAUAUCCUGUACAUUUUUAUACAGAUUGUGACGGACAGCAAAACGUUUACACAAUGAAUUAACUUUUGAAUCGUAGAAAAAGUAUUCUUGAAGAAUUUCGGAAACUGUACAUUAGUGGAUGGUUUUCCAUUUCUCAUCAUUGUCUUUGUUUGAGGCUACCCCACAAUAGUUGAUAGUGAACGUGAGGUAAUAGGUGGCAUAAAGAAAGCAAAGUGUACUAAACCGUAUGCGACGUUUCUUACAUAUAAAACGCGCUGUGUUUCGAAUAAUUAUAGUAUUUAAACAACCCCAAAUUAGGAUUGAACCCCAUUUUGGGCCUUUGCAUUGUUAUUCCUCAUUUAAAAGCUAAAUACUCAAUAUUUGUGCCAACCUUUUUUACAAUUUUGUUCAAGCCCCAAACAGUUUUAACUUCCAUUUCGCAUUUAUUUACUAUUAUUAGUAUAUAUUCCGCAUUUAUACAAUGCAUAUGUACCUUGGUAGAUAUAUCUUAUAAUGUUUUGGAGUAUUGUACAAUAUUUUGAGUACUUCUAAAAGUUCUAUAUCUUAUUAACUUAGUACAUGUAGAGUGUGGUAUUGAAAGCAGACAGUUUAUUCAGAGUCUUAAAAUUAUUAAAAUAACAACAUUAAAAGUAAUAAAUUCUGUUAAAUGGUGUUAAAAAUAGUAAGCCUAUCAGGAACCAUAAUAUGUACAAAACUCAACUUUUUAUAUAAAUUUUCCGAUCAACUGAUUAUGUUUUAUAUGAGAAUAAUAAAGAAUAAUUCGCAAAAAAAGACUACAGUCACAACGUACAUUUUUGACAUAUUUUCAACAGCCUAGGUUCUUCUAAUGACAAUUGACUGCCCUCCUUAUCAUGACUAAAUGCAAUCGACAUUUUUAUCGAAAUUGAGUCUGAAAAUCUGCAAUCUGCGAUCAGCCAAACGAGAUCUACAACACCCUCUCAACUAAUCGGUUUAAUACAUUAUUUAAUUUCAGCAAAUUCAGCGAGUAAUUGACAUUUUUAGUUUUAGAGACAAAGUUACCGGUAUGCAAUUGCGUUAAUUAUGACAAGGACGGCAGAAUAGCAAACAAACACAUAUAACUUAAAUAAAUAUGUAUACCACAGAAGAAAUAAAAAAUUAAUGUAAUUUUAUAUACGCAAAUUUUAGAUAGAGAGAAACAUAUCCAAUACCACACUCUUUAGUUAUUUGCAAACGUAAUGCAGUGUUCACUGUCUGUGGUAUUUUUUAGCAAUUCGGCAGCUAUUUCGAUUACCAAUCAAGCGCUACCGUUAGCUUUUGAAAGUUUUUAAUGCUAUACGUAGACGUGUUUAGUACCCAUCCAGUAGGAAUUUCAUUCGUCCAUAUCUUAGUCAUUAGCGUAGCCUUUAUGCCGUGUUUUAUACGAAUCUUGACGUUGAAAGUAAAAGUGCAUAAGUCACAUUACGUACAUUUUGAAUAAAUUUAUUUAUUUAUUGUUUUACACUAUCAUCACCAUUUCCGUUAUUUCAACAUCGUUUAAGGUUUCGUAUAAAACAGUAUAAAUAUUGUGUAGAAUGAUUAUAUCAGUGGUACUUAAAAAGUACUUACAACAUAUUUAUAAAGGUAACUAUAGAAUCACAAUGUAAUUGUCGUAAGAUUUUUAUUUAAACAAUUUAUAUUUAUACACAAAAAAUUGAAAGCGAUACCAGAUGGCCUUAUAAAAAAAACAAUAAGAACAUUCCAAGUUUUCAUACAGUAUUAUUUUUUAAAAGUCCAUUUUUCAAUCAUUUUGUGAUACUAUUAUUGUAUUCUAAAGGGCGCCUUCAAAUUGAACGCUUGUAGAAGCAUUGCAAUGGCGCGACAUUGGCGCGGCAGCCGCGCACCUGUAGCACUUCAGUAAUUUUAGUUCACUAAAAGUGACUGCACAAGUGGUGAUCGCGUGCUACUAUAGUGGCGCUGCAACUGCGCUUCUAAAUAUUGUAUGAAAAUUAGUAGUGGCGCGAUUGCAGCGCGACAGCGGUGCCACUACAGCGCGACGGCGGUGCCACUACAGCGCUUCUAUAAAAAAAGCCGAACAGCCGUGUAAUAAAUUGUUAACAGAUAGUUUCGGAAACCUGUGAAUUUUAAGUAUUUUUAAUAAAAAUUGUACCUAUGUAUUUAAUGUCAUUCCUUGUGUUGUUACUUUGGUUGUGACUUGUAGUAGAAAUGUAUCUUGCCUGUUUCUAGUCUGGGUUCUCACACUUAACUUAUUACCAUUUAAAAGACAACUUCCCUAUGAUAGUAUUAGACUCUGAUACCUUCAGAUAAGGUGGAUGGUACUGUAACAUUCUAUCAUCAAUUAAUAACAAUCAAGGUCGCUAGUGUUUGUUAAAAUUUAGUUAUAUCGGAUAAUGAAAAGGGUGAUCACCAGAGAUUUACUUAAAUUUAAAAAACUGCAUGUACAGACCAUAAUGCCUCCGGAGUGCAUAUACAAUAAUGUAAUACUGACUUACAGUUACAACGUUUUUGUUGUAAAUACUCUGUCGUAGGAAUGUUACACAUCAAAAUUAUAGAACAAUAUAUAUUACAAUAUUUCCAGGAUUUCAGAGGGAGAUAUUAGGUAACCGCUCUACAUGUAUUCCUUCCUUGAAGUUUAGGUAAAUAUACUCAGCGUGUUCAGAUUUAUGAUUAUUACGUUAUGUUAGACUCCAUCAAUUUCUUACUAUUAUUGGCAGCCAUAAAAAACCGAAGUAUUUUUCGUAAUAAUAAGAUCCAGACAUAGCAGAAAGGUAACAUCGGAGUUCCUCGUGAUGAGUCUUGCCUUAGUAACAUACUUUGUCAAAAUUUUAUUAUUGUAUUUUUUAAUCUUUAUGUGCACAUGAAAACUUAACCUGUGGCAUAUUGAAUGACAUUACGAUUCAUACAGAUAUUUGCACAAAAAGUGUUAUGUUGUAUAAACAGGUGCUUGUAAUCUUGUAACAUCACUUUGGAAAUUUGUAUAGAAAAAUUGUAUAAGUUAUAACUGUAUUUUUAAGUAGAGUUCAAAUUGACACCAUUAAGAGUGGUUUUGGUGAGUUAACACACAGCAACUUGUAGCAAACGCGCGUCCGUGAAACGCGCGACUGCAUUGCUACACUGCGAUUCAUAGGCGAUUGUAUCGAUGCAAACGCGCGAUUACUUCGAUACAAACGUUUGCAUCAAUGCAAAAUCGUUUAUAAAUCACAAGUGUAACCAUGCUAUCGCGCAUUUGUGUCGUUGCAAUCGCGCGUUUGUGUCGACGCAGUCGCGCGUUUGCAUCGCUGCUUAAAAUCGCGCGUGUGUGUAAAGGUAGACGAUUACCUACUGCAUCGCGUUUGUAUCGCGUUUGCGUCGCAUUUGCAUCGCACUUGCAUCGCUGCUAAAAGUUGCCGUGUGUAACCGCUCUAAUAUGUUUUUAAAAUGUUAUAUAUUUCCUAAUAACCUUGCCAUUUCGAAUCUUGCCCUUUAUUGGACCAUUUUGCCAUAUCAGUAUAAAAUAUAUUUUCAAAUUUUAUUUAAAAUAUAUUGUACCUCAGAAGUGUAUGAUCGUCAGAACUUUCGAUUGUCUUAAAGAGUUGCAUUUUUUAUACUACGAACUUACGCUUUACAGGUACAAUAUAUUACUUAUACUCUGUGUAUUGCCACGGUGUAAGACACGUUCCUUAAUUCGAUGCUUUUUCUAGAUUAUUGGCCUGUCUCAAAAGCACCUAAUUCAUCCCGAAUAGGAUUUUUAAAAAAAACAGAAGCGUAUCUGACGCACCAGGUCGACUAAUUGUGAAC